UUGGUAUAUAAAGCUACAAAAUGCAAAUUCUUUUAGGUUAUGGUGUGUGUUUUUUUUUAAUGUUAUAAAAUUGUGACGUUUUUUCAUGAAUAUUAUAGAACAAUAGCUAGCCGUUACAAAAACAAAUCCUUUUGAUUUCAUUUUAAUUCCUGAAACAACAACGAAAACGCACUGCAUUUUGGGUACAUUCUAUGCUAAUAGGCAACAGCCAGGAGAAAUAAACGCGGAACCUCUCCAACCUCGUGUAGCUGCUGGGUUUUCAGUAAUUACGUCCAUCAGAAUCCAAAAUAAAGAUAGUUUUUCCCACUUAGAUCACUUGUUCUUUACUACUUUUCACUCUUAAACCCAUUCUCACUUCCCACCUUGGAUUCUAACUGAUGAGCCCAUCACUGAGCCAAGAUAUGGAAAAUUACAAACUACUCCAAUGUCUUCGUUAUUUAUUUUAAAGCCUCAUCACACUACAUGGGAGCUGCAGUGGUGCAAACCCUUGUGCCAGCUGGACUGCUGACUUGAAGGUUGCCAGUUCGAAUCAACUAGACGAGGUAAGCUCCCGUCUGUCAGCUCUAGCUUGCGAGGACACGAGAGAAGCCUCCCAGCAGGAUGGUAACACAUCCAGGCAUUCCCUGGGCAACGUCUCUGCAGACAGCCAAUUCUCACACCAGAAGCGACUUGCAAAAUGUUCUCAAGUCGCUUCUGACACAAUUUUAAAAAAUCACACUAGAGCAUGGAUCCAAUUUAAAUCUGGUUUCUGCCUCCUGAAGAAUUCUGGGGUUUGUAGUGAGGCCCAGAACCUGUCUGGCUGAGCAGUUUAAAGGCCCCUCUCUAGACUACAAGCCCCAGGUUUCUGCAGGAGGUUCUGCAGGAGGCAGAAACUGGAUUUAAAGUGGAUCCAUGGUCUAGUGUGAUGAGGUCCCAGGUUUAGUGCGGGCAUGGAUAAACCUAGGCCCGCAGGUUCCUUGGGCUCUGGCCUCUGGCCCCAGCCACAUGUCAAUCACACUUGGCUGCGCAGAAUUCUCCUGAGAGUGCUGCGUCGCUACUUGUCAAGCCCUCCUCUUCGCGGAGGAUAUCUAUUGAUCUACUCACAUUUGCAUGUUUUCAAACUGCUAGGCUGACAGAAGCUAGGGCUAACAGCAGGAGCUUACCCCGCUCCCCAGAUUCAAUGCACCAACUUUUCAAUCAGCAAGUUCAGCAGCUCAGUGGUUUAACCUGCUGUGUGAUUCUAUAAAUACACUCAAAUUGUUAGUAUGCAAAUUGGCUUCUGUCUUUAAUAGUGAAAUUACAUGUAUACCAAAGACUGGUUUUAAAAUGAAUUUCUUUAUGAUUUAUUAUCAGUAAACGGUUGAUUUGUAUACCUAGUUUACAUACCUUUCUCUUUCUGAAUGUUUUAGAUUUAUAGUGCAAUUUUUAAUAUAUUUUUAUUUUAUUGAUACAUCCAUUUAUUUAACAAACAUUUGCCAUGAAGGUCUUAUCUCAGUAUACAUUGUUCCAAAAGUCACUUUAUCUCAAUUGACGCUUUAUAUAUUCCUUGGAUGUGUAUUAUUAGUUUCCCAUGCCCUCCCCACCACUUCCCCGCUCUUUCCUGGAACAGCGAUUCCAAAUGAUAUCAUUUCAUAGAUUUAUCAGUGUGGAAAGCCUGGUUUAAAAUCCUAUCAUCUCCAUCUGUUUUGUCGGUUAGAAUAGACCAUUUCCUAUAACAGUCUUGUUUUGUAUAAUUAUUUUUCCUUUGAUUAAUAAAAUCAUUAUGUAUUCCGAGAGAUAAGACCAAGUUUCCAAAUCCUAUCGUAUAUUGUCUCUUCAUCCUCGGGCUAUCGUAGCCUGUAAUGCGGCUAUCAUAUUUUUUAGGAUUUCUGUCCAUUUAUUGUUAUCUUCCUUUGCAUCUAUAGUGAGAGACGUAAACCUAGCUUUAUCCCACUUUAAUUUUUGCCCUAUUAUUUCCUUCAUUGCAUUUCUGAUUUGACUAUAAUAGUUCUGAAUUUUUCUGAAAUCCCACCACAUAUGAGAAAAUGAGCUUAUCCCUCUACGAUUAUGCCAACCCUUGUUGGAAAUAUUUCCCAUUAUAUGUGCUAAUUUAAGGGGGAUUCUAUACCAUUUUAAGAUUAUUUUCUGUUGGGUUUCUUAUAUCCUAAUUAUGUUUAAUUUUCUGAACAUUUUUGAUCCAAGACUGGAUUAAUUUCUCACUAACUUUUUUUCUUGUUUCCAACUCUAUAAGGGUGGUUUUUGUAUUGUAAGAUAAGGUGAUUAAUUCCUUAUACAUUAACCCAAUAACUCCUUUCUCUUUUUCUACUUUCCUUAUAAUUAUUCUGUCUAAAGGGGCAUCUGCUACCUCUCGUCUUUUUAUGGCCUGAGCUCUACUGGACAGGCCUAACCACUAUUGUCUAUCUUCAUCUUUUAUCUUGUCCCAGUUUUUUAUUUCUCUCUUGGGUUCCUAGUUUACAUACCUAACACAGAUCCACUGAAAUCCCAGAGAAAGAAACAAAAAGGGUACAUUGGGAUGAAGAUCCACAGCCUCCAAUUUUUUUUUAUCCAAUAGAUGUAUCUGGCCAAGUAGGAGUUGGAAUGAAUGCUAGUGCUGAGGCGGAAGAGGGGGAAAGUCCUGACAUAGCAUAGCAGAAAAGGAUUAGGUUCCUUCUCCCUUAAUUUCAUGACUCCAGUUGAAAUUGGGAACCCUAUGGUUGCCUUGGAAAAAACACAAAAAUGCUAGAUCUGAUUGUGUUCCCCUCAGUUCAUGCAAUUAUCCUUUAUAUAUAACUGUGUUGUCUUCUUAACUUAGAAGUACCCUGUACAAUUUGUAUUUUGACUCAAUAAAUUUAGUUUAAACCAAAAGUAA